UACGGAGGGAGCUAGCGUUAUUCGGAAUUACUGGGCGUAAAGCGCACGUAGGCGGCUUUGUAAGUUAGAGGUGAAAGCCUGGAGCUCAACUCCAGAAUUGCCUUUAAGACUGCAUCGCUUGAAUCCAGGAGAGGUGAGUGGAACUGCGAGUGUAGAGGUGAAAUUCGUAGAUAUUCGCAAGAACACCAGUGGCGAAGGCGGCUCACUGGCCCGGUACUGACGCUGAGGUGCGAAAGCGUGGGAGCAACAGG
rnacentral:rRNA from 1 species